rnacentral:SRP_RNA from 1 species
GCCGGCGCGGUGGUGUGUGCCUGUAGUCCCAGCUACUCGGGAGGCUGAGGCUGGAGGAUUGCUUGAACCCAGGAGUUCUGGGCUGUAGUGCACUAUGCUGCUCAGUGUCCACACUAAGUUCAGCAUCAAUAUGGUGACCUCCUGGGAGCGGAGGACCACAGGUUGCUUAAGGAGGGGUGAACCGGCCCAGGUUGGAAACGGAGCAGGUCAAAACUCCCAUGCUGAUCAGUAGUGGGAUCACAUCUGUGAAUAGCCACUGCAUUCCAGCCUGGGCAACAUAGUGAGACCCUGUCUCU